AGUGAACGCUGGCGGUAGGCCUAACACAUGCAGGUCGAACGGCAGCACAGUAAGAGCUUGCUCUUACGGGUGGCGAGUGGCGGACGGGUGAGGAAUACAUCGGAAUCUACUUUUUCGUGGGGGAUAACGUAGGGAAACUUACGCUAAUACCGCAUACGACCUACGGGUGAAAGCAGGGGAUCUUCAGACCUUGCGCGAUUGAAUGAGCCGAUGUCGGAUUAGCUAGUUGGCGGGGUAAAGGCCCACCAAGGCGACGAUCCGUAGCUGGUCUGAGAGGAUGAUCAGCCACACUGGAACUGAGAAACGGUCCAGACUCCUACGGGAGGCAGCAGUGGGGAAUAUUGGACAAUGGGCGCAAGCCUGAUCCAGCCAUACCGCGUGGGUGAAGAAGGCCUUCGGGUUGUAAAGCCCUUUUGUUGGGAAAGAAAAGCAGCAGGUUAAUACCCCGCUGUUCUGACGGUACCCAAAGAAUAAGCACCGGCUAACUUCGUG
rnacentral:rRNA from 1 species